rnacentral:rRNA from 1 species
CUACGGGAUGCUCCAGUGAGGAAUAUUGCACAAUGGGGGGAACCCUGAUGCAGCAACGCCGCGUGGAGGAUGACGCAUUUCGGUGUGUAAACUCCUUUUAUAUGUCAAGAAAAUGACGGUAGCAUAUGAAUAAGCACCGGCUAACUCCGUGCCAGCAGCCGCGGUAAUACGGAGGGUGCAAGCGUUACUCGGAAUCACUGGGCGUAAAGGACGCGUAGGCGGGUUGGAAAGUCAGGUGUGAAAUCCUACAGCUUAACUGUAGAACUGCACUUGAAACUUCUAAUCUAGAGUAUGGGAGGGGGAGAUGGAAUUAGUGGUGUAGGGGUAAAAUCCGUAGAUAUCACUAGGAAUACCUAAAGCGAAGGCGAUCUCCUGGAACAUUACUGACGCUAAGGCGCGAAAGCGUGGGGAGCAAACAGGAUUAGAUACCCUAGUAGUC